AUUGAACGCUGGCGGCAGGCUUAACACAUGCAAGUCGAGCGAGCGGCGGACGGGUGAGUAAUGUCUGGGCAACUGCCUGAUGGAGGGGGAUAACUACUGGAAACGGUAGCUAAUACCGCAUACCAUCAGAUGUGCCCAGAUGGGAUUAGCUAGUAGGUGGGGUAAUGGCUCACCUAGGCGACGAUCCCUAGCUGGUCUGAGAGGAUGACCGGCCACACUGGAACGGAGACACGGUCAAGACGCCUGCGGUAGGGAGCAGUGGUGAAUAGUGCGCAAGGGGGGGAAGCCUGAUGCAGCCAUGCCGCGUGUGUGAAGAAGGCCUUCGGGUUGUAAAGCAGUUUCAGCGAGGAGGCGUUACUCGCAGAAGAAGCACCGGCUAACUCCGUGCCAGCAGCCGCGGUAAUAC
rnacentral:rRNA from 1 species